AAGGUACUACCUCCGUUCCAUAAUUCUUGUCGAAAUAUUACAUGUAUCUAGACAUUUUUUACGAAUAGAUACAUCUAUUUUUGAACAAAUUUGAGACAAGAAUUAUGGAAGAGAGGGAGUACUAA
rfam:Brachypodium distachyon strain Bd21 chromosome 3, whole genome shotgun sequence.